rnacentral:rRNA from 1 species
GUGAGGAAUAUUGGUCAAUGGACGAGAGUCUGAACCAGCCAAGUAGCGUGAAGGAUGACUGCCCUAUGGGUUGUAAACUUCUUUUAUAAGGGAAUAAAGUGAGGGACGUGUCCCUUUUUGUAUGUACCUUAUGAAUAAGGAUCGGCUAACUCCGUGCCAGCAGCCGCGGUAAUACGGAGGAUCCGAGCGUUAUCCGGAUUUAUUGGGUUUAAAGGGAGCGUAGGUUGACGUAUAAGUCAGCCGUGAAAGUUUACGGCUCAACCGUGAAAUUGCAGUUGAUACUGUAUGUCUUGAGUGUACAAGAGGUGGGCGGAAUUCGUGGUGUAGCGGUGAAAUGCUUAGAUAUCACGAAGAACUCCAAUUGCGAAGGCAGCUCACUGGGGUACAACUGACACUGAGGCUCGAAAGUGUGGGUAUCAAACAGGAUUAGAAACCCGUGUAGUCC